rnacentral:lncRNA from 1 species
AGGAACCUGCUCUGAUACCAUGUCAAAGAAAGGUUUCAAUGCAGAAAAUAAUUCUGUCGUAUAUUCUUCUCCAAAUCAGAGGCAAUAUAUGAAGCUAAUUACAUCCUAAAAAAGGAAGAAAUAAAUUGUUUCUAUAUUUAAAUACAAGAUUGAUCAACUAAAAGAUUCCCGGACGUAAUUACAAAAUCAAUUCUAUAAUUGACAGCACAUGCCAACAGCUCAUGCUGACACAAACAAUAAAAAUUCGAGCCUCAAAUACAAAAGCCAGCGGAAUAACUUAAAAAUUUAGCCAAAUCAUCUACCAUCUUCAACUUGUCACUCAUCACGAAUCAAUCUUGACUUCUGAAAACUGAAUCACAAUAAACUAUAAUGAGUAUAAAACUUAGUAAGCAAACUAAUUUUUCUUAUACGAAAAAUACAUACAUACUUAUACAUAAUUCAAUGGAUGAUAUGUCAUGAUCUUUUGGAAACACUGUGAAAUAAAUUCAUAAAAAUCCUUUUUGUCGCUUUCAAACUUUCUCAUUUUCUUUCGAUGAAAUACGUAUCCUGCAAUGUGGCACUUUGUGCUGUGCGUGGCACUUUACACCAUGCGUGGCACUUUGCGGCGCUCUGGCCCUCAAGAGGUGGCCCUCGCAUAGUCCCAAGAGGUGGCCCCCACACAACUUCAAGAGGUGGCCCCCGCAUAGUCCCAAGAGGUGCCCCCCACACAACUUCAAGAGGUGGCCCCCAAUGCAAAAAAAAAAAAAAAAAAACAGAAAUCUUAUUUGUGAAAAUCCACUUUCUCAUUCGUAGAAAACUCAAUGCAUUUUCGUGCUCAUGCCAAUGAACUAUCACACAUACAUAUGCCCAUGCACAUAAUCAUGCUCAACACAUCACAUAAACAUAUGGGCAGAGACAUAUAGACCCAUAUUCGUACAUAUCAAAAUAGGAUUUUCACACAAGUCAAACAUAUAUAUUGUUUAUUGUGAUUCGUUUUGAAGUCUAGUUCACUUACCUCUUGGCAUCCUCAUGUAACAAAUGCGUACUGAUACCAUCAACCUAAAAUCAUCAAUAACGUCUCAUAAGAUAUAAUCAAAUCUCAAUCAUAAACUCUAAUGUCCUCCAAUAUCUCAAUUUAAACAACUCCUAAGCUCAACCUCAAAUGUCCUCAAUAAUCGGCCCUCAAAACAUAACAGUCUAUACUUCUCCGAUUUUUAAUAAGUUAUUCUCUUAUUGGAAGAAUCUCAAAUUUUACAGACCAUAUGCUGACACAUUGAAAGUUCAUUGAUAAAAAUUUCAUAACAUAAUUCCUUCAAAAACUAUUGAAAAUAAUUCACGUUUCAGAUAUCAUCAAUACUGUCAAACAGUUUUAUGUUUUGAACACACUUGCUUUACAAAUACAAAAAAAUUUAUUGCUUUAUCAUAAAAUCAUGAAAAUUUCCAGAAUCAUACUAGACAUAUAUAAAAAUCAUUGGUCCAAAUUUCAUAAUUUUUGAAGAAGUCUAACUAUGGUAAAAAUAAUUUCGUAAUUCACGUUAUUCCCUGAAAUUAUAAAUUUCCAGAUUUUCAAACUUGAAUUUGAAAAAUCAUAGUUAAUUGAAAUCUUAUCCGAUUAACUUGAAACAAGUUUCAAAACAUUCUAGACGAUGUCUAGUUUAACAUACCCAAAAAUCAGAAUCAAAAUCAAUUUGUACAAAUUACUAUGAUUUUCAUAAUAAUUCACUGUCAGCAUAUUUAUGUAAAAUCUUUAAUUUCUACUUCUAUUGCAAUCAUGCUUCUCCACAACAAUUUAAUAGAAACCAAUAAUUAAAACGUACCUCCAAAACUUCUCCCAACAAUAACAACUUGAUCCCAUGUGUUGUCUAUGGCAAAACUAAGAAGAAGAAGAAGACUUUCUUCUUCUCUUUUUUUCUUUUUUUUUUCUCUCUUGUCUCUCCAUCUCUCUUUUUCAACCGAU